rnacentral:antisense_RNA from 1 species
UUUAUGGCAGCUGUACGUGGGAGAUCUUCGGAUCUGCCGGGUUUUUCUGGGCUUUAACCGGUUCGCCAACCUGCGUACAGCGGCCACCU